rnacentral:rRNA from 1 species
ACUCCAGUAAUGGGAAAGAUUAAUCGCCAUAAGAUUGGCCAGCGCAAGAUUAGCUUGUUGGUGAGGUAAAAGCCCACCAAGGCUGCGAUCAAUAGCUGGGUUGAGAGGAUGAUCAGCCACAUUGGGACUGAGACACGGCCCAAACUCCUACGGGAGGCAGCAGUGGGGAAUCUUGCACAAUGGAGGAAACUCUGAUGCAGCGAUGCCGCGUGAGUGAAGAAGGCCUUUGGGUUGUAAAGCUCUUUCGUCGGGGAAGAAAAUGACUGUACCCGAAUAAGAAGGU